GACGAACGCUGGCGGCGUGCCUAACGACAUGCAAGUCGAACGGAAGUUAGAGCUUCGGUUUAACUUUAGUGGCGAACGGGUGAGUAACGCGUGAGGAACCUGCCUUUCAUGGGGGACAACAGUUGGAAACGACUGCUAAUACCGCAUGAUGCUUUUGGGAGACAUCUCCUGGAAGCCAAAGCUUUAUGUGCUGAAAGAUGGCCUCGCGUCUGAUUAGCUAGUUGGUGAGGUAACGGGCCCACCAAGGCGACGAUCAGUAGCCGGACUGAGAGGUUGAACGGCCACAUUGGGACUGAGAUACGGCCCAGACUCCUACGGGAGGCAGCAGUGGGGAAUAUUGGGCAAUGGGCGCAAGCCUGACCCAGCAACGCCGCGUGAAGGAAGAAGGCUUUCGGGUUGUAAACUUCUUUUGUCAGGGACGAGGAGAAGACGGUACCUGACGAAUAAGCCACGGCUAACUACGUG
rnacentral:rRNA from 1 species